GACAGAGGGUGCAAACGUUGCUCGGAAUUACUGGGCGUAAAGGGCGUGUAGGCGGGAAGGCAAGUCGGGCGUGAAAUCCCCAGGCUCAACCUGGGAACUGCACUCGAAACUGUCUUUCUUGAGUGCCGGAGAGGAAAGCGGAAUUCCUGGUGUAGAGGUGAAAUUCGUAGAUAUCAGGAGGAACCCCAGUGGCGAAGGCGGCUUUCCGGACGGUAACUGAAGCUGAGACGCGAAAGCGUUGGGAGCAAACAGG
rnacentral:rRNA from 1 species